rnacentral:rRNA from 1 species
GAGUUCAAGAGUACGUGAAACCGUUCAGGGGUAAACCUGAGAAACCCGAAAGGUCGAACGGGGAGAUUCAGACGCGUCUCGGAGAACCGCGGCGAGUCGGUGACGAGUGACGGUAGGCGUUCGCGUCGACUGCGCCGUUUCCGUUCCGUCCGCGGCCGAACGCGUGCACUUCUCCCCCUGUAGGACGUCGCGACCCGUUGGGCGACGGUCUAAGGCCCGCGGUGGAGCCCGUACGAGUUUUUGCUCGUUCGGACCCGCGGUGUCCCGGCCGGAGACAAUACCGACGGUACGAUGGUGGCGCGGGGCCGCGACACGUUCGCGUCCGGCCGACCGCAAGUGCGGACGGAUAAUCCGAAAUCCGGACCUGGUGCCGGAUCCGGUCCCGUCCGACUGCUGGCGGUCGCGCUCUCGGACAGACCCCGAACACGCCCGUCGGCGGCGCUAUAGCUUUGGGUACUUUCAGGACCCGUCUUGAAACACGGACCAAGGAGUCUAGCAUGUGCGCGAGUCAUUGGGACUCUGAUGAAACCUAAAGGCGUAAUGAAAGUGAAGGUCCGCCCUGCGCGGACCGAGGGAGGAUGGGUGGACCCGAGGGGCCGCCCCGCACUCCCGGGGCGUCUCGUUCUCAUCGCGAGAAGAGGCGCACCCAGAGCGUACACGCUGGGACCCGAAAGAUGGUGAACUAUGCCUGGUCAGGACGAAGUCAGGGGAAACCCUGAUGGAGGUCCGUAGCGAUUCUGACGUGCAAAUCGAUCGUCGGAACUGGGUAUAGGGGCGAAAGACUAAUCGAACCAUCUAGUAGCUGGUUC